rnacentral:rRNA from 1 species
GAUGAACGCUAGCGGCAGGCCUAAUACACGCAAGUCGAACGGUCCACUUCGGUGGAUAGUGGCGCACGGGUGCGUAACACGUAUGCAACCUACCUUACAUUGGGGGAUAGCCUUUCGAAAGGGAGAUUAAUACCGCAUAAGACAGUAACAUGGCAUCAUGUAGCUGUUAAAGAUUUAUCGAUGUAAGCUGGGCAUGCGUCCAAUUAGUUAGUUGGUGAGGUAACGGCUCACCAAGACGAUGAUUGGUAGGGGAACUGAGAGGUCAAUCCCCCACACUGGCACUGAGAUACGGGCCAGACUCCUACGGGAGGCAGCAGUAGGGAAUAUUGGGCAAUGGACGCAAGUCUGACCCAGCCAUGCCGCGUGCAGGAAGAAGGCGUUCUGCGUUGUAAACUGCUUUUAUAUAGGAAGAAGCGACCCUUGCGAGGGGCAUUGACGGUAUUAUAUGAAUAAGCACCGGCUAACUCCGUGCCAGCAGCCGCAGUAACAC